GGGGGUUUAGUUUAUUAUAAAAUAUUUGUUUUGCAUACAGAAGAUUUUACCUCUA
rnacentral:tRNA from 1 species